rnacentral:rRNA from 1 species
CCUACGGGUGGCAGCAGUGGGGAAUAUUGCACAAUGGGGGAAACCCUGAUGCAGCAACGCCGCGUGAAGGAAGACGGUUUUCGGAUUGUAAACUUCUGUUCUUAGUGAAGAAUAAUGACGGUAGCUGAGGAGCAAGCCACGGCUAACUACGUGCCAGCAGCCGCGGUAAUACGUAGGUGGCAAGCGUUGUCCGGAAUUACUGGGUGUAAAGGGAGCGCAGGCGGGAAGCCAAGUCAGAUGUGAAAUCUACAGGCUUAACUUGUAGACAGCAGUUAAAACUGUUUUACUAGAGUGCAGGAGAGGUAGGUGGAAUUCCGAGUGUAGCGGUGAAAUGCGUAGAGAUUAGGAGGAACACCAGUGGCGAAGGCGGCUAACUGGACUUUAACUGACGCUGAGGCAUGAGAGUGUGGGGAGCAAACAGGAUUAGAUACCCGAGUAGUC